UGGCUGUCGAGUAGGCAUAGG
rnacentral:misc_RNA from 1 species